rnacentral:rRNA from 1 species
GCAGGCCUAACACAUGCAAGUCGAACGGUAACAGGAAGCAGCUUGCUGCUUCGCUGACGAGUGGCGGACGGGUGAGUAAUGUCUGGGAAACUGCCUGAUGGAGGGGGAUAACUACUGGAAACGGUGGCUAAUACCGCAUAACGUCGCAAGACCAAAGAGGGGGACCUUCGGGCCUCUUGCCAUCAGAUGUGCCCAGAUGGGAUUAGCUAGUUGGUGAGGUAACGGCUCACCAAGGCGACGAUCCCUAGCUGGUCUGAGAGGAUGACCAGCCACACUGGAACUGAGACACGGUCCAGACUCCUACGGGAGGCAGCAGUGGGGAAUAUUGCACAAUGGGCGCAAGCCUGAUGCAGCCAUGCCGCGUGUAUGAAGAAGGCCUUCGGGUUGUAAAGUACUUUCAGCGGGGAGGAAGGUGUUGUGGUUAAUAACCACAGCAAUUGACGUUACCCGCAGAAGAAGCACCGGCUAACUCCGUGCCAGCAGCCGCGGUAAUACGGAGGGUGCAAGCGUUAAUCGGAAUUACUGGGCGUAAAGCGCACGCAGGCGGUCUGUCAAGUCGGAUGUGAAAUCCCCGGGCUCAACCUGGGAACUGCAUUCGAAACUGGCAGGCUUGAGUCUUGUAGAGGGGGGUAGAAUUCCAGGUGUAGCGGUGAAAUGCGUAGAGAUCUGGAGGAAUACCGGUGGCGAAGGCGGCCCCCUGGACAAAGACUGACGCUCAGGUGCGAAAGCGUGGGGAGCAAACAGGAUUAGAUACCCUGGUAGUCCACGCCGUAAACGAUGUCUACUUGGAGGUUGUGCCCUUGAGGCGUGGCUUCCGGAGCUAACGCGUUAAGUAGACCGCCUGGGGAGUACGGCCGCAAGGUUAAAACUCAAAUGAAUUGACGGGGGCCCGCACAAGCGGUGGAGCAUGUGGUUUAAUUCGAUGCAACGCGAAGAACCUUACCUGGUCUUGACAUCCACAGAACUUUCCAGAGAUGGAUUGGUGCCUUCGGGAACUGUGAGACAGGUGCUGCAUGGCUGUCGUCAGCUCGUGUUGUGAAAUGUUGGGUUAAGUCCCGCAACGAGCGCAAC